AUUGAACGCUGGCGGCAUGCCUUACACAUGCAAGUCGAACGGUAACAGGUCUUCGGAUGCUGACGAGUGGCGAACGGGUGAGUAAUACAUCGGAACGUGCCUAGUAGUGGGGGAUAACUACUCGAAAGAGUGGCUAAUACCGCAUGAGAUCUACGGAUGAAAGCAGGGGAUCGCAAGACCUUGUGCUACUAGAGCGGCCGAUGGCAGAUUAGGUAGUUGGUGGGAUAAAAGCUUACCAAGCCGACGAUCUGUAGCUGGUCUGAGAGGACGAUCAGCCACACUGGGACUGAGAGACGGCCCAGACUCCUACGGGAGGCAGCAGUGGGGAAUUUUGGACAAUGGGCGCAAGCCUGAUCCAGCAAUGCCGCGUGCCGGAUGAAGGCCUUCGGGUUGUAAACUGCUUUUGUACGGAACGAAAAGCCCUGGGUUAAUACCCUGGGGUCAUGACGGUACCGUAAGAAUAAGCACCGGCUAACUACGUGCCAGCAGCCGCGGUAACAC
rnacentral:rRNA from 1 species